rnacentral:rRNA from 1 species
CCUACGGGAGGCAGCAGUGGGGAAUAUUGGACAAUGGGGGAAACCCUGAUCCAGCGACGCCGCGUGAGUGAAGAAGUAUUUCGGUAUGUAAAGCUCUAUCAGCAGGAAAGAAAAUGACGGUACCUGACUAAGUAGCUCCGGCUAACUACGUGCCAGCAGCCGCGGUAAUACGUAGGGGGCAAGCGGUAUCCGGAUUUACUGGGGGUAAAGGGAGCGUGAUCGGCAGCGCAAGUCUGGAGUGAAAUGCCGGGGCCCAACCUCGGAACUGCUCGGGAAACUGUGAAGCUGGAGUGCGGGAGAGGUAAGCGGAAUUCCUGGUGUAGCGGUGAAAUGCGUAGAUAUCAGGAAGAACACCGACGGCGAAGGCAGCUUACGGGACUGUAACUGACGUUGAGGCUCGAAGGCGUGGGGAGCAAACAGGAUUAGAUACCCGUGUAGUC